rnacentral:siRNA from 1 species
GUUAUGUCGUGGAUCGUGUCUUU